rnacentral:lncRNA from 1 species
GCUGAAGGAUGUGCGGGAGGUGAAGGAGGAGAAUACGCUGAAUGAGAAGCUUUUCUUGCUGGCGUGCGACAAGGAAACUAAUGGAACGAAUUCAGAAUCCUGAGUAUUCAACAACUAUGGAUGUUGCGCCUGUCAUUUUAGCUGCUCAUCAUAACAACUAUGAAAUUCUUACAAUGCUCUUAAAACAGGAUGUAUCUCUACCCAAGCCCCAUGCAGUUGGCUGUGAAUGCACAUUGUGUUCUGCAAAAAACAAAAAGGAUAGCCUCCGGCAUUCCAGGUUUCGUCUUGAUAUAUAUCGAUGUUUGGCCAGUCCAGCUCUAAUAAUGUUAACAGAGGAGGAUCCAAUUCUGAGAGCAUUUGAACUUAGUGCUGAUUUAAAAGAACUAAGUCUUGUGGAGGUGGAAUUCAGG